UAGGGAAUCUUCGGCAAUGGACGAAAGUCUGACCGAGCAACGCCGCGUGAGUGAAGAAGGUUUUCGGAUCGUAAAACUCUGUUGUUAGAGAAGAACAAGGACGUUAGUAACUGAACGUCCCCUGACGGUAUCUAACCAGAAAGCCACGGCUAACUACGUGCCAGCAGCCGCGGUAAUACGUAGGUGGCAAGCGUUGUCCGGAUUUAUUGGGCGUAAAGCGAGCGCAGGCGGUUUCUUAAGUCUGAUGUGAAAGCCCCCGGCUCAACCGGGGAGGGUCAUUGGAAACUGGGAGACUUGAGUGGAGAAGAGGAGAGUGGAAUUCCAUGUGUAGCGGUGAAAUGCGUAGAUAUAUGGAGGAAAACCAGUGGCGAAGGCGGCUCUCUGGUCUGUAACUGACGCUGAGGCUCGAAAGCGUGGGGAGCAAACAGG
rnacentral:rRNA from 1 species